UACGUAGGGGGCAAGCGUUGUCCGGAAUCAUUGGGCGUAAAGAGCGUGUAGGCGGCUAGAUAAGUCCGCUGUGAAAACUCGAGGCUCAACUUCGAGCUGUCGGCGGAAACUAUCUGGCUAGAGUCCGGAAGAGGAGAGUGGAAUUCCUGGUGUAGCGGUGAAAUGCGCAGAUAUCAGGAAGAACACCCGUGGCGAAGGCGGCUCUCUGGGACGGUACUGACGCUGAGACGCGAAAGCGUGGGGAGCGAACAGG
rnacentral:rRNA from 1 species